GUAAACGGGGGGCGAGUGGCGGGGUGAGUACAGAGGGCCCAAGGGUUGUUCGGAGUCACGGGGCGGAAAGGGUGCGUAGGCGGUCGGGUAAGUCUGAUGUGAAAUCCCGGAGCUCAACGGCGGCACUGCAUUGGAUACUAUCCGGCGCGAGGAGUGGAGGGGAGACUGGAAUUCUCGGUGUAGCAGUGAAAUGCGUAGAUAUCGAGAGGAACACCUGUGGCGAAGGCGAGUCUCUGGACACUUCCUGACGCUGAGGCACGAAAGCCAGGGGAGCAAACGGGAUUAGAUACCCUAGUAGUC
rnacentral:rRNA from 1 species